rnacentral:rRNA from 1 species
GAUGAACGCUGGCGGCGUGCCUAAUACAUGCAAGUCGAGCGAAUGGAUUAAGAGCUUGCUCUUAUGAAGUUAGCGGCGGACGGGUGAGUAACACGUGGGUAACCUGCCCAUAAGACUGGGAUAACCCCGGGAAACCGGGGCUAAUACCGGAUAACAUUUUGAACCGCAUGGUUCGAAAUUGAAAGGCGGCUUCGGCUGUCACUUAUGGAUGGACCCGCGUCGCAUUAGCUAGUUGGUGAGGUAACGGCUCACCAAGGCAACGAGGCGUAGCCGACCUGAGAGGGGGAUGGGCCACACUGGGACUGAGACACGGCCCAGACUCCUACGGGAGGCAGCAGUAGGGAAUCUUCCGCAAUGGACGAAAGUCUGACGGAGCAACGCCGCGUGAGUGAUGAAGGCUUUCGGGUCGUAAAACUCUGUUGUUAGGGAAGAACAAGUGCUAGUUGAAUAAGCUGGCACCUUGACGGUACCUAACCAGAAAGCCACGGCUAACUACGUGCCAGCCGCCGCCGUAA